AGUGAACGCUGGCGGUAGGCCUAACACAUGCAAGUCGAACGGCAGCACAGUAAGAGCUUGCUCUUACGGGUGGCGAGUGGCGGACGGGUGAGGAAUACAUCGGAAUCUACUUUUUCGUGGGGGAUAACGUAGGGAAACUUACGCUAAUACCGCAUACGACCUACGGGUGAAAGCAGGGGAUCUUCGGACCUUUCGCGAUUGAAUGAGCCGAUGUCGGAUUAGCUAGUUGGCGGGGUAAAGGCCCACCAAGGCGACGAUCCGUAGCUGGUCUGAGAGGAUGAUCAGCCACACUGGAACUGAGACACGGUCCAGACUCCUACGGGAGGCAGCAGUGGGGAAUAUUGGACAAUGGGCGCAAGCCUGAUCCAGCCAUACCGCGUGGGUGAAGAAGGCCUUCGGGUUGUAAAGCCCUUUUAUUGGGAAAGAAAAGCAGCAGGUUAAUACCCCGCUGUUCUGACGGUACCCAAAGAAUAAGCACCGGCUAACUUCGUG
rnacentral:rRNA from 1 species